GAUGAACGCUGGCGGCGUGCCUAAUACAUGCAAGUAGAACGCUGAAGCUUGGUACUUGCACCGAGCGGAUGAGUUGCGAACGGGUGAGUAACGCGUAGGUAACCUGCCUGGUAGCGGGGGAUAACUAUUGGAAACGAUAGCUAAUACCGCAUAACAGUCGACAUUGCAUGAUGUUGAUUUGAAAGGGGCAAAUGCUCCACUACCAGAUGGACCUGCGUUGUAUUAGCUAGUUGGUGAGGUAACGGCUCACCAAGGCGACGAUACAUAGCCGACCUGAGAGGGUGAUCGGCCACACUGGGACUGAGACACGGCCCAGACUCCUACGGGAGGCAGCAGUAGGGAAUCUUCGGCAAUGGACGGAAGUCUGACCGAGCAACGCCGCGUGAGUGAAGAAGGUUUUCGGAUCGUAAAGCUCUGUUGUAAGAGAAGAACGAGUGUGAGAGUGGAAAGU
rnacentral:rRNA from 1 species